rnacentral:ncRNA from 1 species
UGAGGUAGAGGUCGCGAUAUUCAUGAGUAUGAUCGACGAGAUGAAAAAGCAUUACAGACUCGAUUAAAAAAGGGAAUAUUGCCGAAGUGUUGGUAAGCUUUUUAUUGCUAAUGCUGGGGCUGCUAUCGAAAGGUGCAGAACUGUCACGUCUAAAAAGGCGUGUUGAGCUAUCU